rnacentral:rRNA from 1 species
CGGGAUGUUCAUAACCCUUUGUUGUCCGACUCUGUUGCCUCCGGGGCGACCCUGCCUUCGGGCGGGGGCUCCGGGUGGACACUUCAAACUCUUGCGUAACUUUGCAGUCUGAGUAAACUUAAUUAAUAAAUUAAAACUUUUAACAACGGAUCUCUUGGUUCUGGCAUCGAUGAAGAACGCAGCGAAAUGCGAUAAGUAAUGUGAAUUGCAGAAUUCAGUGAAUCAUCGAAUCUUUGAACGCACAUUGCGCCCCCUGGUAUUCCGGGGGGCAUGCCUGUUCGAGCGUCAUUUCACCACUCAAGCCUCGCUUGGUAUUGGGCAACGCGGUCCGCCGCGUGCCUCAAAUCGACCGGCUGGGUCUUCUGUCCCCUAAGCGUUGUGGAAACUAUUCGCUAAAGGGUGUUCGGGAGGCUACGCCGUAAAACAACCCCAUUUCUAAGGUUGACCUCGGAUCAGGUAGGGAUACCCGCUGAACUUAAGCAUAUCAAUA